rnacentral:rRNA from 1 species
AGUGAACGCUGGCGGUAGGCCUAACACAUGCAAGUCGAACGGCAGCACAGGAGAGCUUGCUCUCUGGGUGGCGAGUGGCGGACGGGUGAGGAAUACAUCGGAAUCUACUCUGUCGUGGGGGAUAACGUAGGGAAACUUACGCUAAUACCGCAUACGACCUACGGGUGAAAGCAGGGGACCUUCGGGCCUUGCGCGAUUGAAUGAGCCGAUGUCGGAUUAGCUAGUUGGCGGGGUAAAGGCCCACCAAGGCGACGAUCCGUAGCUGGUCUGGGAGGAUGAUACGCCAAACUGGAACUGAGACACGGUCCAGACUCCUACGGGAGGCAGCAGUGGGGAAUAUUGGACAAUGGGCGCAAGCCUGAUCCAGCCAUACCGCGUGGGUGAAGAAGGCCUUCGGGUUGUAAAGCCCUUUUGUUGGGAAAGAAAUCCAGCUGGCUAAUACCCGGUUGGGAUGGCGGUACCCAAAGAAUAAGCACCGGCUAACUUCGUGCCAGCCGCCGCCGUAA